GAUGCUGCCUCCACCCCACAGCUGAGGAGAGCGUUAGCCCCAGCUGGGGACCAUCAGGCUGGGAAGACUCUUCAGUAUGGAGGGGGACACCCUGCAAGGCCCACAGGCAAGCAUGGUACACAGGCUCAGCAGCAGAAGGACUCAUCCCUGUGGUAUCAUAGGGCUGCUGUCACACACAGAUGCCUUAGAGCCCUGCCACGCGCAGUGUGGGGGCAGAGGAAGGGAGGAAGCCUUGAUGUCCCCAGGCACAGGUGGAAGGAAGGACACCUAUCCACUCCUUGUCUGGGUGCUGUAGAGCUAAACUACUCCCUACUGGCCCCAGCACAUGAGCUCUUUGCUCUUUACUUCCAAUUUUUCACGUACUGUAAUACCAUUCCCUGCACCUCCACUGGGCUCCUGAAUGAAAAUCCCACAUGUGGCUGCAGAGAGGACACUCAGCAACACUGGGGGUUGGAUAUGGCUGCUGCCUGGUUGGUCCAUGCAGCUAUGGAGCAGCUGUCCUCAACCCAGGCAGUGGUGAGUAGAGAAACGAUAGACUCAUAGAAUAGCUUAGGUUGGAAGGAAUAUUAAAACCCACCCAGUUCCAAAUGCCCCUGCCAUGGGUAGGGUGGCCACUCACUAGAUCAGUCUGCCCAGGGCUCCAUCCAACUUGGCCUUGAACGCCUUGAACCCACAACUUCUUUGGGCAACAAGUUCCAGUGCCUCACCAG
rnacentral:lncRNA from 1 species